UACGUAGGGUGCGAGCGUUGUCCGGAAUUAUUGGGUGUAAAGAGCUUGUAGGUGGCUCGUCGCGUCGGGAGUGAAAACCCGCGGCUUAACCGCGGGCCUGCUUUCGAUACGGGCGGGCUAGAGUUCGGCAGGGGAGACUGGAAUUCCUGGUGUAGCGGUGGAAUGCGCAGAUAUCAGGAGGAACACCGGUGGCGAAGGCGGGUCUCUGGGCCGAUACUGACACUGAGAAGCGAAAGCGUGGGGAGCGAACAGG
rnacentral:rRNA from 1 species